AUGAACAUUUUUUGAUGUGUAUCAUCAUUUUAAUAUGAAUUUACAGGAGGCAAAGUAAUAUCGGCGAGAUAUCGUUUCGGUCGUUAUUUUUCUAAAUUGACGAUUCGAUUGUUGCUCGUCUACAU